GGUGUAGCUCAAUUGGUAGAGCAACUGACUUGUAAUCAGUAGGUUGGGGGUUCAAGUCCUCUCACCAGCUCCA
rnacentral:tRNA from 1 species